AUUGAACGCUGGCGGCAGGCUUAACACAUGCAAGUCGAGCGGGGAAGGGUAGCUUGCUACCUGACCUAGCGGCGGACGGGUGAGUAAUGCUUAGGAAUCUGCCUAUUAGUGGGGGACAACAUUCCGAAAGGAAUGCUAAUACCGCAUACGCCCUACGGGGGAAAGCAGGGGAUCUUCGGACCUUGCGCUAAUAGAUGAGCCUAAGUCAGAUUAGCUAGUUGGUGGGGUAAAGGCCUACCAAGGCGACGAUCUGUAGCGGGUCUGAGAGGAUGAUCCGCCACACUGGGACUGAGACACGGCCCAGACGCCUACGGGAGGCAGCAGUGGGGAAUAUUGGACAAUGGGCGAAAGCCUGAUCCAGCCAUGCCGCGUGUGUGAAGAAGGCCUUUUGGUUGUAAAGCACUUUAAGCGAGGAGGAGGCUACUUGGAUUAAUACUCUAGGAUAGUGGACGUUACUCGCAGAAUAAGCACCGGCUAACUCUGUGCCAGCCGCCGCUGUAA
rnacentral:rRNA from 1 species